rnacentral:rRNA from 1 species
GAUGAACGCUGACAGAAUGCUUAACACAUGCAAGUCUUUGGCGAAGCUGUGCUUGCACAGCCUAGCCAAGGCGGACGGGUUAGUAACGCGUAAGGAACUUGCCCUGCAGUCAGGGAUAACAGACGGAAACGACUGAUAAGACCUGGUAAAGUCAGGCGGACUCAUGUCCAGCCUGAUGAAAAGAGAUGCUGCAGGAGAGCCUUGCGUCCUAUUAGCUUGUUGGUGGGGUAACGGCCCACCAAGGCGAUGAUAGGUAGCCGGCCUGAGAGGGUGGACGGCCACAAGGGGACUGAGAGACGGCCCUUACUCCUACGGGAGGCAGCAGUGGGGAAUAUUGGACAAUGGGGGCAACAAUGAUCAAGCAAUUCUGUGUGCACGAUGAAGGUUUUCGGAUUGUAAAGUGCUUUCAGCAGGGAAGAAAAAAAUGACGGUACCUGCAGAAGAAGCGACGGCUAAAUACGUG